rnacentral:misc_RNA from 1 species
GAUGAAGAACGCAGCAAAAUGCGAUAAGUAAUGUGAAUUGCAGAAUUCAGUGAAUCAUCGAAUCUUUGAACGCACAUUGCGCCCGCUGUUAUUCCGGCGGGCAUGCCUGUUCGAGCGUCAUUUCAACCCUCAAGCCCCCGGGUUUGGUGUUGGGGAUCGGCUCUGCCCUUCUGGGCGGUGCCGCCCCCGAAAUACAUUGGCGGUCUCGCUGCAGCCUCCAUUGCGUAGUAGCUAACACCUCGCAACUGGAACGCGUCGCGGCCAUGCCGUAAAACCCCAACUUCUGAAUGUUGACCUCGGAUCAGGUAGGAAUACCCGCUGAACGUAAGCAUAUCAAUAAGCGGAGGA